rnacentral:lncRNA from 1 species
CAAUUGGACUGUUCUGCUCUAACAUCACACUAGUUUCUCUCUUUUUUCUCUCUUUUCCUGCCUAGCCAUUUCUUUUCUGCUUCUUACCUUUACCUUCUUUUGUAUGUUUUUCGGAAGCCUUAGCUACUUCCAUGUUGUACGCUGAGUUCAUAUCACUUGAUGAAUGAAGCAGGUAGCUUGCUACUUUUUUCUAAAAAAAAGAGACUCUAGAGAAGAAGGAUUGUUUCAUAUAAUUUAACAUGUUGUAAGAGCAGAAGAUUCUAAAUUUGAGUCAUGCCAGAUUUCCAACAAUUAAAAUUGAUUUCCUCUUAGUUAAUUUAAGGCAACGUCUUGAACCUAUCAAAAUGCCUUGAGCAUAAACAUAAGAGAAAUUGUUAAAUAUAAAAAGGCUAAAUUACAUAAAACCCCCAGUAAAAACCUGAUUUUUCAGUUUCCCCCCUUGUCAUUUAAAAACCAACACUUUGCCUCCUUGUAAAAUAAAAAAUGUUCACGAGGGGGUACGGUGUGUAAAAUGACCAUUUUGCCCCUCACCAUUUUCGUCUUCUCCAUCGUCUUCCUCAACCGCUGCCUCGUUCGGCCGCGAUUCACACCUCGAUCGGUCGCGAUUUUUCUCCAUUUUCUUCUCCACCUGCUCCUCUUCUCCUCCCGCACCUUCGCCGCUCGUCGAUUUCAGCGAUAGUAAGGAGGAAAUCGAGGUGGGCGUUGAUGGAGAGGUAGGCAAGGCAACAAGAGCGAAGGCAAGGCGGCGGAAGAUGGCGAAAGGGAUGUGGGCGAGGGCGAGGUGAUGGAGGACGGCAAGGCAGCGACGAGGUGACGAGCCGGAGGGAGGUGAAGCAACAGGGAAGAGGGCGGAGGGAUAUUUUUGGCAUAAAAAAUAUUUUAUAACGGAACGCUAACGGUAGGGGGUGAAGUGCACAUUUUUCAUUUUAUAAGGAGGCAAAGUGUAGGUUUUUAAAUGACAGGGGGGGAAGUGAAAAAUCGGGUUUUGACAGCAGGGUUUUCUGUAAUUUAGCAAUGUAAAAAUAUCAUUCUCUAUUAGCUUAAAAUUUUAAUGAAAAAUAAUUAUUUCGCAUUAUUUAACAUGAUGUGACUAGUAAAGCAAUCUCACCCAUUGGAUGGGUGAGGUGUAUUACGGGAAGUACGGGUUGCAUUGUUUUUUUUUGCAAUAUUUAGGGGCCGUGUGGCCGCCUCCUUGUAGAAUGAAGUUCCUUUUACUGAAAUUUUGUUUUAUAAUGUUAUCUAAGAAGACUUAGGUUCUAUUUGAUAUUAUAAAAAGAAUGCGUUACGUAUAGCAAGAAAGUACGAUGGAAUAUUUUUAAAAUGUUUAUGUAUGUAAUAUCACAUUGCUUAUAUUGCAAUGAGUUAGUCAGAAUAUAUAUAUAUAUAUAUAUAUAUAUAUAUAUAUAUAUAUAUAUUCAAUAAUCCCAGCAAAAGACGAAGAAGCAUAUCUUUAUGUGCCUUCAUUCUAAUUCCGUCUUGCCAAAUAGUACUAGAUGGUUCUCAGUAUCAAACAAAUACUUAGAGCAUAUUUGGUUUGCCACUUUUUCACCCUGGAAUCAGAACCGGAAUGGAUAAAUUUGUUUAUCCAUGUUUGGUACGCCGGAUUUCCAUUCCGAUUCCGAUUCCUGGGUGAAUGAGAAUCCCCACAAUUACCCGUCUUUCCAAUCCGGUCUGCUAGACCGGAUUGGAAAUUAAAUUCGGAUGGAAUGGACUUGUUUGGAUUAAAUUUAACUUUUUUAAACUUACUUUUUAAUUAAAAUAUAAGUUUAAGUUUAAAAAUUAUAUUUAUAAAUUUUAAUUUUAAUUUGAACUUAAAUUAAAAAUUAAAAUUCAAUCAAGCAUUUUGAAUCUAAUUUAUAAAUUUAAAUUUAAAUUUAAAAUCUAAAGUUUUUUUCAAAUUUUAUUUAAAAUUUAAAUUAAAUUUAUGGAUUCAAAUUAAAAUUAAAAUUAUAAUUUUAAGUUUGAAUUUGAAUAAAUUAAAAUUUAGUUUUAUAUUUUGAUUAUCAGUUCAAUUUCAAAUUUUAAAUUUUUUAAAAAUAUAUUUAAAAUUUUGACAUUAUUUUAAAAUUUUUAAGUAACUUUUUAAUAUUUAAUUUUCAGUUUGAAUUUAAACUAAUAUAUUAUAAAGAUAAAUUUGAUAUAUUAAUUUGAUUACAUUUCUAAUAUCUAUUUGAAUCAAAUAUGACAAUGGGAAUAGUUUAUUCCGAUUCAGAUUCAGGUGGGAACGAAACAGAAUGAGAUAAUGAAUCAUUCCAAUUCUAUUUCUAGCUUAUUCUCAUUCCGAUUUUGAUACCGAUUCUGAUUUCGAACCAAACACACCCUUAGUGAAAUUACACCUCCAGAAACUUUCUUAUGCAAUAGAACUCUAAAA